rnacentral:rRNA from 1 species
UAGGGAAUCUUCGGCAAUGGACGGAAGUCUGACCGAGCAACGCCGCGUGAGUGAAGAAGGUUUUCGGAUCGUAAAGCUCUGUUGUAAGAGAAGAACGAGUGUGAGAGUGGAAAGUUCACACUGUGACGGUAUCUUACCAGAAAGGGACGGCUAACUACGUGCCAGCAGCCGCGGUAAUACGUAGGUCCCGAGCGUUGUCCGGAUUUAUUGGGCGUAAAGCGAGCGCAGGCGGUUAGAUAAGUCUGAAGUUAAAGGCUGUGGCUUAACCAUAGUAGGCUUUGGAAACUGUUUAACUCGAGUGCAAGAGGGGAGAGUGGAAUUCCAUGUGUAGCGGUGAAAUGCGUAGAUAUAUGGAGGAACACCGGUGGCGAAAGCGGCUCUCUGGCUUGUAACUGACGCUGAGGCUCGAAAGCGUGGGGAGCAAACAGGAUUAGAUACCCUGGUAGUCCACGCUGUAAACGAUGAGUGCUAGGUGUUAGACCCUUUCCGGGGUUUAGUGCCGUGGCUAACGCAUUAAGCACUCCGCCUGGGGAGUACGACCGCAAGGUUG